rnacentral:rRNA from 1 species
CUCCUUUGACGUUAGCGGCGGACGGGUGAGCAACACGUGGGUAACCUACCUAUAAGACUGGGGUAACUUCGGGAAACCGGAGCUAAUACCGGAUAAUAUUUCGAACCGCAUGGUUCGAUAGUGAAAGGUGGUUUUGCUAUCACUUAUAGAUGGACCCGCGCCGUAUUAGCUAGUUGGUAAGGUAACGGCUUACCAAGGCGACGAUACGUAGCCGACCUGAGAGGGUGAUCGGCCACACUGGAACUGAGACACGGUCCAGACUCCUACGGGAGGCAGCAGUC